UGCCUCAUAGCUCAACGGCAGAGCGUCCCGCUGUUAACGGGAAUGUUGUAGGUUCAAAUCCUACUGAGGCAG
rnacentral:tRNA from 1 species